AGAGAGGCAGUGGACAAAGUUGUGUAAUGGAUAGAGGGCCAACCUUGGAAGACUUUGGUUCAGGACAAGCUUCUGGCUGGGUGACCCUGAACUGGCCAUUUGACCUCUCAGUGCCCCGGACAACUCUUAGGACUACGGUAACAGGGAGGCCUGAGGAGAUGGAGAGAGACCGGCCAUGGCGGGUCAGUUAAUGGAGCAGUCAGAACAUAACACAACAUUUAGCUAUUAAGAUGUCUCUCAUCUUCACUGUUGGUGAUAAUCUCAAGGAAUACUUUGUCAAGCAUUUAUGGUAUUCAGUCUCUUGAGUAAUUGAGUAG